rnacentral:rRNA from 1 species
UACGUAGGGUGCAAGCGUUAAUCGGAAUUACUGGGCGUAAAGCGUGCGCAGGCGGUUAUGUAAGACAGAUGUGAAAUGCCCGGGCUUAACCUGGGAACUGCAUUUGUGACUGUACGGCUAGAGUGUGUCAGAGGGGGGUAGAAUUCCACGUGUAGCAGUGAAAUGCGUAGAGAUGUGGAGGAAUACCGAUGGCGAAGGCAGCCCCCUGGGAUAACACUGACGCCUCAUGCACGAAAGCGUGGGGAGCAAACAGG